rnacentral:tRNA from 1 species
GGGGUUGUGGCUCAGAGGUAGAGUGCUUGCCUAGCAUGCAUGAGGCUCUGGGUUCGAUCCUCAGCACCACCU